rnacentral:rRNA from 1 species
AGCGAACGCUGGCGGCAGGCUUAACACAUGCAAGUCGAGCGGACCUUUCGGGGUCAGCGGCGGACGGGUGAGUAACGCGUGGGAACGUGCCUUCCGGUUCGGAAUAACCCUGGGAAACUAGGGCUAAUACCGGAUACGCCCUUAUGGGGAAAGGUUUACUGCCGGAAGAUCGGCCCGCGUCUGAUUAGCUAGUUGGUGGGGUAACGGCCUACCAAGGCGACGAUCAGUAGCUGGUCUGAGAGGAUGAUCAGCCACACUGGGACUGAGACACGGCCCAGACUCCUACGGGAGGCAUCAGUGGGGAAUAUUGGACAAUGGGCGCAAGCCUGAUCCAGCCAUGCCGCGUGAGUGAUGAAGGCCUUAGGGUUGUAAAGCUCUUUUAUCCGGGACGAUAAUGACGGUACCGGAGGAAUAAGCCCCGGCUAACUUCGUG